rnacentral:rRNA from 1 species
GACGAACGCUGGCGGCGUGCUUAACACAUGCAAGUCGAACGGAAAGGCCCUGCUUUUGUGGGGUGCUCGAGUGGCGAACGGGUGAGUAACACGUGAGUAACCUGCCCUUGACUUUGGUAUAACUUCAGGAAACUGGGGCUAAUACCGGAUAGGAGCUCCUGCUGCAUGGUGGGGGUUGGAAAGUUUCGGCGGUUGGGGAUGGACUCGCGGCUUAUCAGCUUGUUGGUGGGGUAGUGGCUUACCAAGGCUGUGACGGGUAGCCGGCCUGAGAGGGUGACCGGCCACAUUGGGACUGAGAUACGGCCCAGACUCCUACGGGAGGCAGCAGUGGGGAAUAUUGCACAAUGGGCGGAAGCCUGAUGCAGCAACGCCGCGUGCGGGAUGACGGCCUUCGGGUUGUAAACCGCUUUCGCCUGUGACGAAGCGUGAGUGACGGUAAUGGGUAAAGAAGCACCGGCUAACUACGUG